AGAGAAGUUACAAAGGGCGAACGGAGGAUGCCUUGGCUUCUGGCGGCGAUGAAGGACGCGGUAAGCUGCGAAAAUGUGCGGGGAUCUGCAAACAGGACUUGAUCCGCACGUAUCCGAAUGGGACAACCUGGCAGGUUGAAGACCUGUCACUCAGAGAUGAGAGCCAACGCGGAGAACUGAAACAUCUAAGUAUCCGCAGGAAAAGAAAGAAAUAUCGAUUUCCAGAGUAGUGGCGAGCGAAAUGGAAAUAGCCUAAACCGGUGUUGUUACGGCAAUACCGGGGUUGUAGGACCUCAACA
rnacentral:rRNA from 1 species